rnacentral:rRNA from 1 species
AAAGGAAUAGACGGGGACCCGCACAAGCGGUGGAGCAUGUGGUUUAAUUCGAAGCAACGCGAAGAACCUUACCAAGUCUUGACAUCCUUCUGACAGAGUAUGUAAUGUACUUUUCCUUCGGGACAGAAGAGACAGGUGGUGCAUGGUUGUCGUCAGCUCGUGUCGUGAGAUGUUGGGUUAAGUCCCGCAACGAGCGCAACCCUUAUCACUAGUAGCCAGCAGUAAGAUGGGCACUCUAGUGAGACUGCCAGGGUGAACCUGGAGGAAGGCGGGGAUGACGUCAAAUCAUCAUGCCCCUUAUGACUUGGGCUACACACGUGCUACAAUGGCGUAAACAGAGGGAAGCGAAGCGGCGACGUGAAGCGAAUCCCAGAAAAUACGUCCCAGUUCGGACUGCAGUCUGCAACUCGACUGCACGAAGCUGGAAUCGCUAGUAAUCGCAGAUCAGAAUGCUGCGGUGAAUACGUUCCCGGGUCUUGUACACACCGCCCGU